rnacentral:rRNA from 1 species
CACAUGCAAGUCGAACGGAGUUAUUCGCUGAUGAAGCUUCGGCAGAUUCUUGAAUAACUUAGUGGCGGACGGGUGAGUAACGCGUGGGUAACCUGCCUCAUACAGGGGGAUAGCAGUUGGAAACGACUGAUAACACCGCAUAAGCGNACAGUAUCGCAUGAUACAGUGUGAAAAUAUUUAUAGGUAUGAGAUGGAC